UACGAAGGGUGCAAGCGUUAAUCGGAAUUACUGGGCGUAAAGAGCUCGUAGGUGGUUUGUCGCGUUGUUCGUGAAAACUCACAGCUCAACUGUGGGCGUGCGGGCGAUACGGGCAGACUAGAGUACUGCAGGGGAGACUGGAAUUCCUGGUGUAGCGGUGGAAUGCGCAGAUAUCAGGAGGAACACCGGUGGCGAAGGCGGCAUCCUGGACCGACACUGACGCUGAGGCGCGAAAGCUAGGGUAGCAAACGGG
rnacentral:rRNA from 1 species